GACAGAGGAUGCAAGCGUUAUCCGGAAUGAUUGGGCGUAAAGCGUCUGUAGGUGGCUUUUUAAGUCCGCCGUCAAAUCCCAGGGCUCAACCCUGGACAGGCGGUGGAAACUACCAAGCUGGAGUACGGUAGGGGCAGAGGGAAUUUCCGGUGGAGCGGUGGAAUGCGUAGAGAUCCGGAAGAACACCGGUGGCGAAGGCGGCCUGCUGGGCAGUAGCUGACACUGAGGCGCGACAGCGUGGGGAGCAAACAGG
rnacentral:rRNA from 1 species